ACUCAAAGGAAUUGACGGGGACUUGCACAAGCAGUGGAUUAUGUGGUUUAAUUCGAUGGUAAACGAAGAACCUUACCAGGGUUAGAAAUCCUAGUGAAAUCUGCCGGAAACGGUUGACCUCGCAAGACUCUAGGACAGGUGAUGCAUGGCCGUCGUCAGUUCGUGGUUUGAAUUGUACCCUUAAGUGGGCUAACGAACGCAACCCUCGUUGUGUGUUACAAGUGUCACACGAGACCGCCCCCGCCUUAGUUUUUGUCCCUCAACUUUUUUAAAAAGUUUUCGGGAUGAAAUUUAAGGCGGGGGAGGAAGGAGAGGAUGACGCCAGGUCAGCAUGUCCCUUUGAUACCCUGGGCUACACACAUAAUACAAUGGCCACUACAACGCGUUGCGACGAGGCGACUCUGAGCUAAUCGUUUAAAAGUGGCCUCAGUUCGGAUUGGAGGCUGCAACUCGCCUCCAUGAAGCUGGAAUUGCUAGUAAUCGCAGGUCAGCUAAACUGCGGUGAAUACGUUCUCAAGUCUUGUACACACCGCCCGU
rnacentral:rRNA from 1 species